GAUGAACGCUGGCGGCGUGCCUAAUACAUGCAAGUCGAGCGAACGGGCGAGAAGCUUGCUUCUCUGACGUUAGCGGCGGACGGGUGUGUAACAUGUGUAUAACCCACCUAUAAUACUGGGAUAACUUCGUAAAACCGGAGCUAACACCGGAUGAUAUCUUGCACCGCAUGGUUCAAAAGUGAAAGACGGUCGUGCUGUCACUAAUAGAUGGAUCCGCGCUGCAUUAGCUAGUUGGUAGGGUAAUGGCUUACCAAGGCAACGAUGCAUAGCCGACCUGAGAGGGUGAUCGGCGACACGGGAACUGAGACGGGGUCCAGAGUCCUACGGGACGGAGCAGUCUAGAAUGUUCGGCAACUGGCGACAACCUGGCAGAGCAGCGCCGCGUCAGUGAUGGAGGCCCUCCGUUCGUAAAGCCCUGUUAUUAGGGAAGAACCUCUGUGUAAUUAAACGUGCACAUAUUGACGGUACCUGGUCAAAAAGCCACGGCUAACUACGUG
rnacentral:rRNA from 1 species